rnacentral:tRNA from 1 species
GGGAGAGUACGGGUCUGGUGGCUCGCACGGUCUUCAAAACCGCUGAGGUCUUCGCAAGGAGACUGCUAGGUUCGAUUCCUAGACUUUCCCGCCA